CUGAGACACAUAUAACUUUAGUGUUUUCAUGGAUCGAUUAUAGUAAUUUCUAUGCUUUUGUUGCCUCUUGCUGUGAACUUUGAAUGAUAUGAUCAAGCCUUUCAUGGUGGAUGCUGUUUGUAGGUCACUGUUGGUCUAGACUAUGGAUGAAAUAGUUUGGUCAUCUCAUGGUCAUCUCAUCUUAUAGGGGCUAGAUUCGUGAUUUUCUGUGGAAAUUGUCGAUAAAUCCUAACCAUUGAUGUCUCUUUAGCAAGCAUAUCUGAUUGGUGGAACAGCAUGCUCAGGUCGAAAAACUGUCCGAUUGCAGUAUUUCUUGAAGUUUGUAAGUAUAUUUUGAUUUAUUUGCCAACAAUUUGUCAGAGUAUUACUUUUAUUGCUUAAGGCUGUGAUUUCUUGAAUCAGAUUAACUUUUUGGUCUGUUACUGACGUUCAACAAGCAUCAAUAGUGCUGGACACCAAUUUUUAGACUGGUAUACUAGAUUAAAUUAUCCAUUUGUUGCUGACCUGUUCUGACCAGAUCUUGAUUUGAAAGCAUUGGUAGGUUGUGAGUUGAGAGGGAACCCUCUUGAGUAAUAUUCGGAUUUGCAGUAAACCUUAUUUAUUUGUUGCAGUAGACCUGUUUAUCUAAUGCUGGAGAUUAUGUGAACUUGUCAUGUAAGACAUAAGGUUCAAAAUGGUAUUUAUAAUGGUUCCAAGAAUUAGGAGCAUGGGCGGGCAUACAAUGUGACGGAUAAUCGCCUUCUCAAAGAGCUGGUUCUUUUAUGUUGGUAAACAAGGCUCAACCUUCCACCUCUUCUUUCUCCUAGCUUUCUACUUGAGAGAGGAGGUGAGCAUCUAUAGUGAUUUCUCAGUUACCCUUCAAGCAUUGUUCCUUCUCCUUUUCUUCUUCGCUUUAUUGUGUAUGGAUGUAUUUAUGUAUGAAUAUUCAUGCAACAAGGGGUGACUUCUAAAAUUGUUCUUCUCUUCUUUGCAUGCCAUCUUCUCUAGCAAUAGGCGAGACAUAUAUGGAAGGUCUACUACAUUGCUGGCACCCGAUCUGCAUUCAUUGUAAGUUGGAGAGGUCAUCACCAGAGGAGAAGAGGUGCAGGGAUCUUCUCCUCUUUUUUGCGUGCAUGUAUAUUAAUGAGAUGAUGGGCAAGUUGUGAAAUUACUCCUCUUCUUUGCGUGUCAACUUCUCUAGCAAUAGGCGAGGAACUUCUGGAAGUGAAUUCAUUGGAUUUGGAGGCUGAUGGUAGUUUCAAGAUAAAGAUGGUAUCGAUAAAGGUACGAUUUUGACUUCGAGAACCCAAAUUCUCAAAGUUUCUAUUUUGCUUGUCAAAAAUCAGGAGUUGUUUGCUCAAUACUCGAAUGUGUCACAUUUUUACAUUUUCUCCUUGACAAAAUCCCGACCAUAAAUACAUGGGCUCUUUUACAUGAACUACC